rnacentral:piRNA from 1 species
CUGAUUUUAACUUUUAGGAAGCCU